AAGAGAAGUAGCCCGUCGCGUCAAAGACGCUAAUAUAGCUGUUCUGUUUUCAUUUUGUGUUUGCCAUAAACAAGUAAUAUUAAGAAAGAUUCAUGGUGGCGCGAUCUUGUGCUUCCAAUCUGCUAAUUCAUCCUAGUUUUGCAGUGCGGCAUCUUUCUGGUUAGAAGUUUGUAAAUACUUCUUUAACAAAACUGUAUUGUAAUUUGGAAGAAGGAAAAUUGAGCUGACAAAACGUUUA